CCUGCCCCAAGAGCCAUUGAAGGUGUGGCUGCUAUGUCGCAUGUGCGUCAGUAGAUGGCAGAGAGGAGAGAGUCCAUGUCUGUGUUCAGUAUUCUGACCUGUGAAUGUCUGAAUGCUAGUAGCCUAAUAUU